rnacentral:pre_miRNA from 1 species
GACGGAAUGAGUCCGUCGGUAAAACUGGAUAAUGUUGUAGUGAGGACAGAUUCAGACUUCUCCGUUGUUGCUACAAUUUGGACUUGAAAAAGACCUUUUUAAUCUUGGACUCCUCAUGAAAGUUUUAGGCCUAUGUCUUAGCUUUCCAUC